UGCAAGUCGAACGCGAAAGUUCUCUUCGGAGAGCGAGUACAGUGGCGCACGGGUGCGUAACACGUAGCUAACGUACCCCUUUGCUGGGGAUAACUCCGGGACACCGGAGCUUAUACCCAAUAAUCUGUGAGGAACUACGGUUCUUUUCAUUAAAGCCGUAAGGCGCGAAGGGAUCGGGCUGCGGCCCAUUAGUUUGAUGGUGGGGCAACGGCCUACCAUGACUACGAUGGGUAGCUGGUCUGAGAGGAUGAUCAGCCACACUGGAACUGAAACACGGUCCAGACUCCCACGGGAGGCAGCAUUUGGGAGUAUUGGACAAUGGGGGAAACCCUGAUCCAGCAAUGCCGCGUGAGUGAUGAAGGCUUUCGGGUCGUAAAGCUCUUUCAGCGGGGAAGAAUAAAAUGACUGUACCCGCAGAAGAAGCACCGGCUAACUCCGUGCCAGCAGCCGCGGUAAUACGGAGGGUGCUAGCGUUGUUCGGAAUCAUUGGGCGUACAGCGCGUGUAGGCGGUUACGUAAGUCUGAUGUGAAAGCCCGGGGCUUAACCCCGGAAGUGCAUUGGAUACUGCGUAACUAGAGGGCGAGAGAGGAAAGUGGAAUUCCUGGUGUAGGGGUGAAAUCCGUAGAUAUCACGAGGAACAUCGGAAGCGAAGGCGGCUUUCUGGCUCGUUACUGACGCUGAGACACUAAAGCGUGGGGAGCAAACAGGAUUAGAUACUCUGGUAGUCCACGCCCUAAAC
rnacentral:rRNA from 1 species